GAAAGCGAUGCUAAUACCGGAUGACAUCAUGAAAACUUCGGUUUUAAUGAUCAAAGGUGGCCUCUACAUGUAAGCUUCCGAUUGAGGAUGAGCCCGCGUACCAUUAGCUUGUUGGUGAGGUAAAGGCUCACCAAGGCGACGAUGGGUAGCCGGCCUGAGAGGGUGAUCGGCCACAAGUGGGACUGAGAUACGGCCCAGACUCCUACGGGAGGCAGCAUUAGGGAAUAUUGCGCAAUGGACGAAAGUCUGACGCAGCAACGCCGCGUGAGCGAUGAAGGUCUUCGGAUCGUAAAGCUCUGUCAGAGGGGACGAACCGCCCCGCGUCGAAUAGACUCGGGGUCUGACGGUACCCUCAGAGGAAGCACCGGCCAACUCCGUGCCAGCAGCCGCGGUAAUACGGAGGGUGCAAGCGUUGUUCGGAUUUACUGGGCGUAAAGCGCGUGCAGGCGGGUCACCAAGUCUCGUGUGUAAUCUUUCGGCUUAACCGGNAAAACUGCACGGGAAACUACUGAUCUUGAAUGCGAGAGA
rnacentral:rRNA from 1 species